rnacentral:rRNA from 1 species
UACGUAGGGUGCAAGCGUUAAUCGGAAUUACUGGGCGUAAAGCGUGCGCAGGCGGUUGUGCAAGACCGAUGUGAAAUCCCCGGGCUUAACCUGGGAAUGGCAUUGGGGACUGCACGGCUAGAGUGUGUCAGAGGGGGGUAGAAUUCCACGUGUAGCAGUGAAAUGCGUAGAGAUGUGGAGGAACACCGAUGGCGAAGGCAGCCCCCUGGGUCAAGAUUGACGCUCAUGCACGAAAGCGUGGGGAGCAAACAGG